UACGUAGGGGGCAAGCGUUGUCCGGAAUUAUUGGGCGUAAAGAGCGUGUAGGCGGCCAGAUAAGUCCGCUGUGAAAUCUCGAGGCUCAACUUCGAGCUGUCGGUGGAAACUAUCUGGCUAGAGUCCGGAAGAGGAGAAUGGAAUUCCUGGUGUAGCGGUGAAAUGCGUAGAUAUCAGGAGGAACACCGGUGGCGAAAGCGGCUUCCUGGCCCGACAUUGACGCUCAUGUACGAGAGCGUGGGGAGCAAACAGG
rnacentral:rRNA from 1 species